GAUGAACGCUGGCGGCGUGCCUAAUACAUGCAAGUCGAGCGAACAGACGAGGAGCUUGCUCCUCUGACGUUAGCGGCGGACGGGUGAGUAACACGUGGAUAACCUACCUAUAAGACUGGGAUAACUUCGGGAAACCGGAGCUAAUACCGGAUAAUAUAUUGAACCGCAUGGUUCAAUAGUGAAAGACGGUUUUGCUGUCACUUAUAGAUGGAUCCGCGCCGCAUUAGCUAGUUGGUAAGGUAACGGCUUACCAAGGCAACGAUGCGUAGCCGACCUGAGAGGGUGACCGGCCACACUGGAACUGAGACACGGUCCAGACUCCUACGGGAGGCAGCAGUAGGGAAUCUUGCGCAAUGGGCGAAAGCCUGACGGAGCAACGCCGCGUGAGUGAUGAAGGUCUUCGGAUCGUAAAACUCUGUUAUUAGGGAAGAAGAAAUGUGUAAGUAACUAUGCACGUCUUGACGGUACCUAAUCAGAAAGCCACGGCUAACUCCGUG
rnacentral:rRNA from 1 species